AUUUGGCUGUGCUCGCAAGAGAACCGGAACACAGGUGCUGCAUGGCUGUCGUCAGCUCGUGUCGUGAGAUGUUGGGUUAAGUCCCGCAACGAGCGCAACCCUUGUCAUUAGUUGCUACGAAAGGGCACUCUAAUGAGACUGCCGGUGACAAACCGGAGGAAGGUGGGGAUGACGUCAAGUCCUCAUGGCCCUUAUGGGUAGGGCUUCACACGUCAUACAAUGGUCGGGACAGAGGGUCGCCAACCCGCGAGGGGGAGCCAAU
rnacentral:rRNA from 1 species